UACGUAGGGUGCAAGCGUUGUCCGGAAUUAUUGGGCGUAAAGAGCUCGUAGGCGGUCUGUCGCGUCUGCUGUGAAAACCUAGGGCUUAACUCUGGGCGUGCAGUGGGUACGGGCAGGCUAGAGUGGCGGUAGGGGGAGACUGGAAUUCCUGGUGUAGCGGUGAAAUGCGCAGAUAUCAGGAGGAACACCGGUGGCGAAGGCGGGUCUCUGGGCCGUAACUGACGCUGAGACGCGAAAGCGUGGGGAGCAAACAGG
rnacentral:rRNA from 1 species